rnacentral:rRNA from 1 species
GAGGUUAAGUGACUAAGCGUACACGGUGGAUGCCUAGGCAGUCAGAGGCGAUGAAGGGCGUGCUAAUCUGCGAAAAGCGUCGGUAAGGUGAUAUGAACCGUUAUAACCGGCGAUACCCGAAUGGGGAAACCCAGUGUGUUUCGACACACUAUCAUGUCAUAAAUACAUAGUGGCAUGAGGCGAACCGGGGGAACUGAAACAUCUAAGUACCCCGAGGAAAAGAAAUCAACCGAGAUUCCCCCAGUAGCGGCGAGCGAACGGGGAGGAGCCCAGAACCUGAAUCGGCUUGUGUGUUAGUGGAAGCGUCUGGAAAGUCGCGCAGCAAAGGGUGAUAGCCCCGUACACUAAAAUGCACAGGUCGUGAGUUCGAUGAGUAGGGCGGGACACGUGACAUCCUGUCUGAAUAUGGGGGGACCAUCCUCCAAGGCUAAAUACUCCUGACUGACCGAUAGUGAACCAGUACCGUGAGGGAAAGGCGAAAAGAACCCCGGCGAGGGGAGUGAAAUAGAACCUGAAACCGUGUACGUACAAGCAGUGGGAGCACCUUCGUGGUGUGACUGCGUACCUUUUGUAUAAUGGGUCAGCGACUUAUAUUUUGUAGCAAGGUUAACCGUAUAGGGGAGCCGUAGGGAAACCGAGUCUUAACUGGGCGACUAGUUGCAAGGUAUAGACCCGAAACCCGGUGAUCUAGCCAUGGGCAGGUUGAAGGUUGGGUAACACUAACUGGAGGACCGAACCGACUAAUGUUGAAAAAUUAGCGGAUGACUUGUGGCUGGGGGUGAAAGGCCAAUCAAACCGGGAGAUAGCUGGUUCUCCCCGAAAGCUAUUUAGGUAGCGCCUCGUGAACUCAUCUUCGGGGGUAGAGCACUGUUUCGGCUAGGGGGCCAUCCCGGCUUACCAAACCGAUGCAAACUCCGAAUACCGAAGAAUGUUAUCACGGGAGACACACGGCGGGUGCUAACGUCCGUCGUGAAGAGGGAAACAACCCAGACCGCCAGCUAAGGUCCCAAAGUCAUGGUUAAGUGGGAAACGAUGUGGGAAGGCAUAGACAGCCAGGAUGUUGGCUUAGAAGCAGCCAUCAUUUAAAGAAAGCGUAAUAGCUCACUGGUCGAGUCGGCCUGCGCGGAAGAUGUAACGGGGCUAAACCAUGCACCGAAGCUGCGGCAGCGACGCUUAGGCGUUGUUGGGUAGGGGAGCGUUCUGUAAGCCGUUGAAGGUGGCCUGUGAGGGUUGCUGGAGGUAUCAGAAGUGCGAAUGCUGACAUAAGUAACGAUAAAGCGGGUGAAAAGCCCGCUCGCCGGAAGACCAAGGGUUCCUGUCCAACGUUAAUCGGGGCAGGGUGAGUCGACCCCUAAGGCGAGGCUGAAAAGCGUAGUCGAUGGGAAACAGGUUAAUAUUCCUGUACUUGGUGUUACUGCGAAGGGGGGACGGAGAAGGCUAGGCUAGCCGGGCGACGGUUGUCCCGGUUUAAGCGUGUAGGGGGUGUGACCUGGUAAAUCCGGUUGCAUGCUAACCCUGAGGCGUGAUGACGAUGCACUACGGUGCAGAAGUAGUUGAUGCCCUGCUUCCAGGAAAAUCCUCUAAGCUCCAGGUAACAUUAAAUCGUACCCCAAACCGACACAGGUGGUCAGGUAGAGAAUACCAAGGCGCUUGAGAGAACUCGGGUGAAGGAACUAGGCAAAAUGGUGCCGUAACUUCGGGAGAAGGCACGCUGGCAUGUAGGUGAAGUCCCUUGCGGAUGGAGCUGAAGCCAGUCGAAGAUACCAGCUGGCUGCAACUGUUUAAUAAAAACACAGCACUGUGCAAACACGAAAGUGGACGUAUACGGUGUGACGCCUGCCCGGUGCUGGAAGGUUAAUUGAUGGGGUCAGCCGCAAGGCGAAGCUCUUGAUCGAAGCCCCAGUAAACGGCGGCCGUAACUAUAACGGUCCUAAGGUAGCGAAAUUCCUUGUCGGGUAAGUUCCGACCUGCACGAAUGGCGUAAUGAUGGCCAGGCUGUCUCCACCCGAGACUCAGUGAAAUUGAACUCGCUGUGAAGAUGCAGUGUACCCGCGGCAAGACGGAAAGACCCCGUGAACCUUUACUAUAGCUUGACACUGAACAUUGAGCCUUGAUGUGUAGGAUAGGUGGGAGGCUUUGAAGCGUGGACGCCAGUCUGCGUGGAGCCAUCCUUGAAAUACCACCCUUUAAUGUUUGAUGUUCUAACUCGGCCCCAUAAUCUGGGGUGAGGACAGUGUCUGGUGGGUAGUUUGACUGGGGCGGUCUCCUCCCAAAGAGUAACGGAGGAGCACGAAGGUUAGCUAAUCACGGUCGGACAUCGUGAGGUUAGUGCAAAGGCAUAAGCUAGCUUGACUGCGAGAGUGACGGCUCGAGCAGGUACGAAAGUAGGUCUUAGUGAUCCGGUGGUUCUGAAUGGAAGGGCCAUCGCUCAACGGAUAAAAGGUACUCCGGGGAUAACAGGCUGAUACCGCCCAAGAGUUCAUAUCGACGGCGGUGUUUGGCACCUCGAUGUCGGCUCAUCACAUCCUGGGGCUGAAGUAGGUCCCAAGGGUAUGGCUGUUCGCCAUUUAAAGUGGUACGCGAGCUGGGUUUAGAACGUCGUGAGACAGUUCGGUCCCUAUCUGCCGUGGGCGUUGGAAGAUUGAGAGGGGUUGCUCCUAGUACGAGAGGACCGGAGUGAACGCACCACUGGUGUUCGGGUUGUCAUGCCAAUGGCAUUGCCCGGUAGCUAAGUGCGGAAAAGAUAAGCGCUGAAAGCAUCUAAGCGCGAAACUUGCCUCAAGAUGAGUCUUCCCUGGGCCUUUAAGGUCCCUGAAGGAACGUUUAAGACUAAGACGUUGAUAGGCUGGGUGUGUAAGUGCAGCGAUGCAUUGAGCUAACCAGUACUAAUGAUCCGUGAGGCUUAACCUUA